GAGCGGCCGAUGUCCGAUUAGCUUGUUGGUGGGGUAACGGCUCACCAAGGCGACGAUCGGUAGCUGGUCUGAGAGGAUGAUCAGCCACACUGGGACUGAGACACGGCCCAGACUCCUACGGGAGGCAGCAGUGGGGAAUUUUGGACAAUGGGGGAAACCCUGAUCCAGCCAUGCCGCGUGAGUGAAGAAGGCCUUCGGGUUGUAAAGCUCUUUUGGCCGGAAAGAAAAGAUCACGGAUAACACCCGUGGUUCUUGACGGUACCGGCAGAAUAAGCACCGGCUAACUACGUGCCAGCAGCCGCGGUAAUACGUAGGGUGCGAGCGUUAAUCGGAAUUACUGGGCGUAAAGCGUGCGUAGGCGGUCCCGCAAGUCCGCUGUGAAAGCCCCGGGCUUAACCUGGGAAUGGCAGUGGAAACUAUGGGACUUGAAUCUGGCAGAGGGGGGUGGAAUGCCACGUGUAGCAGUGAAAUGCGUAGAGAUGUGGCGG
rnacentral:rRNA from 1 species